CCAGACUCCUACGGGAGGCAGCAGUGGGGAAUAUUGCACAAUGGGGAAAACCCUGAUGCAGCGACGCCGCGUGAGCGAUGAAGUAUUUCGGUAUGUAAAGCUCUAUCAGCAGGGAAGAAGAUGACGGUACCUGACUAAGAAGCCCCGGCUAACUACGUGCCAGCAGCCGCGGUAAUACGUAGGGGGCAAGCGUUAUCCGGAUUUACUGGGUGUAAAGGGGGCGCAGACGGCAGCGCAAGCCAGGAGUGAAAGCCCGGGGCCCAACCCCGGGACUGCUCUGGAAACUGUAAAGCUGGAGUGCGGGAGGGGCAGGCGGAAUUCCUGGUGUAGCGGUGAAAUGCGUAGAUAUCAGGAGGAACACCGGCGGCGAAGGCGGCCUGCUGGACCGUAACUGACGUUGAGGCUCGAAAGCGUGGGGAGCAAACAGGAUUAGAUACCCUUGUAAAC
rnacentral:rRNA from 1 species